rnacentral:tRNA from 1 species
CGGAAUGUAGCGCAGCUUGGUAGCGCAUCUGCUUUGGGAGCAGAGGGUCGCAGGUUCGAAUCCUGUCAUUCCGA